UAGGAGAUGUCAGUGUCUUCCGGCCGAGACUGUGAAAAAGUCUCAUUUGCUAUCCGUAAGACUCAAAGCCCGAUAGCAUGUCGUGGGGAACGUUGUCAUCAGCACCUUCCCCGAAGAUGUCAGAGUCUUCCAGCCGAGACUGCGAACAAGUCUCAUUUGCUAUUCGUAAGACUCAAAGCCCAAUAGCGUAUAGUGACUAACGUCGUCACUCGCACCUUUCCCAGAGAUGUUUGCAUCUUCCGGCCGAGACUGCGAAAAAGUCUCAUUUGCUAUCCGUAAGACUCAAAGCCCGAUAGCAUGCAGUGACUAACGCCGUCACCAACACCUUUC
rnacentral:misc_RNA from 1 species